UGGAAGUAGAAGGAGGAGAGCAUAAACAAGGAAGAGAAGAUAAAAGUAACAUAGAAGAAUUAGAUAACGGUUAGUGAGUGGAGACCAGCAUAGUUAAAUUAUAAACAGGUGAGGACAGAAAUAACACUGGGAGAGACAGAAAAGACAUAAGAAUAGAAGAUAGCAGGAUAAUUUAGUUAGGUUCAUUUAGUUAGGAUAUUAAUACAUGGAGAGACUAUCGGCUCCAUAGGCAUGUAUUAUAGUUUUGAUUUUAAGUUAUGUUUGGUAAAAUUCGCUAGGAAAAGAUAUGAUAAUUUAGUUGAAAGAAGUUGUUCAAUCUUAAAGAAGAUAGGACACUUGAUAGAGAAAUGCACAGGGUACCUAAGGAUGAAUGCCCCAGGGAGAAUUGGACAUGUGGUAUAUGAAAGGGGGCAAUCCUACAAGAGAAGGGCUGACAUAAGGAUAAUUUACUAACCUUACAAAAGACAUUGUUAAGAAAUGCAGCAAAAUUGAUACAUGGUUUGAGCCAUGUAUAAAAAGGGGGAGUAAGGGGGAGUAUAGUAGAGCAGGCGAUAGAACAGGAUAGGAUGCUACUAGAACAAAAACAUUUUUUGUAGAAUGUCCAUUCCAACAUUUGGAAAUGGACUUAUUGAACUAUUCCGAAUUGAGGGGAAGAAGGGGUGUUUAACAAUAACAGAUAAGUAUAGCAAAUGGGUAGAAGUGUUCCCAACUUACUUGGUGGACAUGAUUAUGGUAGCUAGAAUAUUAGGACAAGAUAUAAUCCCUAGUGUUGAUACUGGGAUCUAUCUCUUUAAAUGAUGGAUGACAGUUUAGCUAAUCAGGUAGAGCCUAUAGAAUGCCAGAGUUAGGGAGAAUAGAGAUACCAGAACAGGUAGACAUAGAAGUUAAAGAUAUACUAGCAGAGCACAUGAGAAGACUGUUUGUUAACCAAACCCGUAUGUCCAAGAUUUUGUGUUCAACAGGUGAAUUACAGGAGAAGGUGAUUCACUCAAUCCAACCAGGAGACUGGGUGUGGAUCCAGUCCCUGAGGAGAAAAGACGGGAAGCAGCCCCGUGGGGAAGGCCCAUACCAGGUUCUGUUAAACCAUUGCCUUUGCCAUUAGAAAAGCUGAGAGAGUCACUUGGGUCCACGUUACCCACUGCAAGGAGGUAUGUACUCAUAUGAGCACUGCUGAUCACACACAGAGUUAGGAGAAGAACCGAGAACCAACAAGGUCCGGGGGUUACCUCCUUAACGAAGAUUUCCUAUCCCGACCGUUCAUCACUGUGUGUGCUCCUAGAGGUGUGAGUAUGGGGUGGUACCAAGCAGAGAGACUAAGGGCAGGAGAGGGUUGACGGUUUUUGGGAAGAGUAGAAACUCUGAGCUGCAUCAUAGUCUAAUCUUUCUGAUAUAUUCAGAUCCACCACCUACUGGUACUAAACAUAGGUUACCGUUGUCAUUGAGAAGAAGUAAAAGAUAAACUAUAUAAUACACUGAUGAGUGACGUACAGAAUAAGGAAUCAAAGAAGAUCAAGAUGUAG
rnacentral:lncRNA from 1 species